CGACGGGCUCAUAUUGAACCUAGUGAUGUAUGAGUUAGUGGCGGACGGGUGAGUAACGCGUGGAGAACCUGCCGUAUACUGGGGGAUAACACUUAGAAAUAGGUGCUAAUACCGCAUAAGCGCACAGCUUCGCAUGAAGCAGUGUGAAAAACUCCGGUGGUAUACGAUGGAUCCGCGUCUGAUUAGCUGGUUGGCGGGGUAACAGCCCACCAAGGCGACGAUCAGUAGCCGGCCUGAGAGGGUGAACGGCCACAUUGGGACUGAGACACGGCCCAAACUCCUACGGGAGGCAGCAGUGGGGAAUAUUGCACAAUGGGGGAAACCCUGAUGCAGCGACGCCGCGUGAGUGAAGAAGUAUUUCGGUAUGUAAAGCUCUAUCAGCAGGGAAGAAAUACUGACCUUACGGUCAGCAGACGGUACCUGACUAAGAAGCCCCGGCUAACUACGUGCCAGCAGCCGCGGUAAUACGUAGGGGGCAAGCGUUAUCCGGAUUUACUGGGUGUAAAGGGAGCGUAGACGGCAGCGCAAGUCUGAAGUGAAAUCCCAUGGCUUAACCAUGGAACUGCUUUGGAAACUGUGCAGCUGGAGUGCAGGAGAGGUAAGCGGAAUUCCUAGUGUAGCGGUGAAAUGCGUAGAUAUUAGGAGGAACACCAGUGGCGAAGGCGGCUUACUGGACUGUAACUGACGUUGAGGCUCGAAAGCGUGGGGAGCAAACAGGAUUAGAUACCCUGGUAGUCCACGCCG
rnacentral:rRNA from 1 species